UACGUAGGGUGCAAGCGUUGUCCGGAAUUAUUGGGCGUAAAGAGCUCGUAGGCGGUCUGUCGCGUCUGCUGUGAAAACCUGGGGCUUAACCCCGGGCCUGCAGUGGGUACGGGCAGACUAGAGUGCGGUAGGGGAGACUGGAAUUCCUGGUGUAGCGGUGAAAUGCGCAGAUAUCAGGAAGAACACCGAUGGCGAAGGCAGUUCUCUGGGACGGUACUGACGCUGAGACGCGAAAAGCGUGGGGAGCGAACAG
rnacentral:rRNA from 1 species